GAUGAACGCUAGCGGAAGGCCUAAUACAUGCAAGUCGAACGGGCAUAUUGAUUUCGGUUGAUAUGUUAGUGGCGCACGGGUGAGUAACGCGUACACAACCUGCCUUAUAUUGGGGGAUAGCCUUGGGAAACUGGGAGUAAUACCGCAUAAUAUUAUUGAGAGGCAUCUUUUGAUAAUUAAAGCUGAGGCGAUAUAAGAUGGGUGUGCGUCUGAUUAGGUAGUUGGUAGGGUAACGGCCUACCAAGCCGACGAUCAGUAGGGGGUGUGAGAGGCAUGGCCCCCCACACGGGUACCUGAGACACGGACCAGACUCCUACGGGAGGCAGCAGUGAGGAAUAUUGGACAAUGGGCGCAAGCCUGAUCCAGCCAUGCCGCGUGCAGGAUGAAGGCCC
rnacentral:rRNA from 1 species